AAUCAACGCUGGCGGCGUGCCUCAGACAUGCAAGUCGAACGCGAAAGUCCCCUUCGGGGGACAAGUAGAGUGGCGCACGGGUGAGUAACACGUAGGUAAUCCACCUUCGGAUGGGGAAUAACAACCGGAAACGGUUGCUAAUACCGCAUAAUGCAGCGGCACCUAAUGGUGACAGUUGUUAAAGCGGGGGAUCGAAAGACCUCGCGUCUGAAGAGGAGCCUGCGGCGGAUUAGCUAGNGGUAAGGUAACGGCUUACCAAGGCGACGAUCCGUAGCCGGCCUGAGAGGGCGGUCGGCCACACUGACACUGACAUACGGGUCAGACUCCUACGGGAGCAGCAGUCGGGAAUUUUGGCAAUGGGCGAAAGCCUGACCCAGCAACGCCGCGUGAAGAUGAAAUCCCUCGGGAUGUAAACUUCGCAAGAACGGGAAGAAUAAGUAGGGGACAAUACCCCCUAUGAUGACGGUACCGUUUGUAAGC
rnacentral:rRNA from 1 species